ACGCCAAGGCAUGACAGGUGGACCCAACA
rnacentral:piRNA from 1 species